rnacentral:rRNA from 1 species
CCCUUAGAUGUUCUGGGCUGCACGCGCGCUACACUGACGCACGCAACAGGUGCCUGCUCCGAGAGGACUGGGUAAUCAUUUGAGUGUGCGUCGUGAUGGGGAUAGAAUAUUGUAAUUAUUACUCUUCAACGAGGAAUUCCUAGUAAGCGCCAGUCAGCAGCUUGCGCUGAUUACGUCCCUGCCCUUUGUACACACCGCCCGUCGCUCCUACCGAUGGGUGAUACGGUGAAUGAUUCGGACUUCAGCGGCUCCCCUGGGGUGCGCCGGAGAAAGUUUUGUGAACCUUAUCACUUGGAGGAAGGAGAAGUCGUAACA